rnacentral:rRNA from 1 species
AUUGAACGCUGGCGGCAGGCCUAGCACAUGCAAGUCGAGCGGAUGAAGGGAGCUUGCUCCUGGAUUCAGCGGCGGACGGGUGAGUAAUGCCUAGGAAUCUGCCUGGUAGUGGGGGAUAACGUCCGGAAACGGGCGCUAAUACCGCAUACGUCCUGAGGGAGAAAGUGGAGGAUCUUCGGACCUCACGCUAUCAGAUGAGCCUAGGUCGGAUUAGCUAGUUGGUGGGGUAAAGGCCUACCAAGGCGACGAUCCGUAACUGGUCUGAGAGGAUGAUCAGUCACACUGGAACUGAGACACGGUCCAGACUCCUACGGGAGGCAGCAGUGGGGAAUAUUGGACAAUGGGCGAAAGCCUGAUCCAGCCAUGCCGCGUGUGUGAAGAAGGUCUUCGGAUUGUAAAGCACUUUAAGUUGGGAGGAAGGGCAGUAAGUUAAUACCUUGCUGUUUUGACGUUACCAACAGAAUAAGCACCGGCUAACUUCGUG